rnacentral:rRNA from 1 species
GACUUCAUCUUCAUCCACCUGUGCACCUAUUGUAGUCUUUAGUUGGGUCUCGAGGAAGUGGUUCACCUAUCAGCAUUUGCUGGAUGUGAGGACUUGCACUGUGAAAGCACUGCUGUCCUUUACUUGACCAUGGAGUCGAUUUCUCACUGGAGUCUAUGUUCAUUCAUUAUACUCUGUUGAAUGUUAUUGAAUGUCUUUUACAUGGGCUUGUAUGCCUAUGAAAAUUGUAAUACAACUUUCAGCAACGGAUCUCUUGGCUCUCGCAUCGAUGAAGAACGCAGCGAAAUGCGAUAAGUAAUGUGAAUUGCAGAAUUCAGUGAAUCAUCGAAUCUUUGAACGCAUCUUGCGCUCCUUGGUAUUCCGAGGAGCAUGCCUGUUUGAGUGUCAUUAAAUUCUCAACUCUCUUGUACUUUUUUGUAAAGGAGAGCUUGGAUUGUGGAGGCUUGCUGGUCACUUAAUUGAGGUCAGCUCCUCUGAAAUGCAUUAGCGGAACCGUUUGCGAUCUGCCACAAGUGUGAUAAGUUAUCUGCACUGGUGAGGCAAUUGCUCUCUGUGUUGUUCAGCUUCUAACUGUCUCAGUCUGUCGAGACAACUUUUUGAAUGCUUGACCUCAAAUCAGGUAGGACUACCCGCUGA